GAUAAACGCUGGCGGCGUGCCUAACACAUGCAAGUCGAACGCCCUUAUCGCAAGGUAAGGGAGUGGCGGACGGGUGAGUAACGCGUGAGUGAUCUACCCCAAGGUGAGGAAUACCGGCGAGAAAUCGCCGACAAUCCCGCAUAGUUUCGCGAAAGCGAAUAAAGCUUCGUAAGAGGCGCCCUGGGAUGAGCUUGCGUCCGAUUAGCUAGUUGGUGGAGUAAUGGUCUACCAAGGCGACGAUCGGUAGCUGGUCUGAGAGGACGAUCAGCCACACUGGGAUUGAGAACGGCCCAGACUCCUACGGGGGGCAGCAGUGAGGAAUUUUCGGCAAUGGGGGAAACCCUGACCGAGCAACGCCGCGUGCAGGAUGAAGGUUUUCGGAUCGUAAACUGCUUUUCUCUGGGACGAGAACGGACGGUACCAGAGGAAUCAGCCCCGGCUAACUACGUGCCAGCAGCCGCGGUAAUACGUAGGGGGCAAGCGUUGUCCGGAUUUAUUGGGCGUAAAGCGCACGCAGGCGGUCUGCCAAGUCCGAAGUGACAGUCAUUGGCUUAACCAAUGAAGGCCUUCGGAAACUGGCAGACUUGAGAGCAAUAGAGGGACACGGAAUUCCGGGUGGAGUGGUGAAAUGCGUAGAUAUCCGGAGGAACACCAAAGGGCGAAGGCAGUGUCCUGGAUUGUUUCUGACGCUCAGGUGCGAAAGCUAGGGGAGCGAACGGGAUUAGAUACCCCGGUAGUCCUAGCCGUAAACGAUGACCACUAGACGUCUGAGGUAUCGACCCCUUAGGUGUCGUAGCAAACGCGAUAAGUGGUCCGCCUGGGGAGUACGGUCGCAAGAUUAAAACUCAAAGGAAUUGACGGGGACCCGCACAAGCAGCGGAGCGUGUGGUUUAAUUCGAAGCAACGCGAAGAACCUUACCAGGGUUUGACAUGCAUUCGCACCAGCGAGAGAUCGCUGUCCCUUCGGGGCGGAUGCACAGGUGCUGCAUGGCUGUCGUCAGCUCGUGUCGUGAGAUGUUGGGUUAAGUCCCGCAACGAGCGCAACCCCUAUCGUUAGUUGAACUUCUCUAGCGAGACUGCCGCGAUCAACGUGGAGGAAGGUGGGGAUGACGUCAAGUCAGCACGGCCCUUACGUCCUGGGCUACACACACGCUACAAUGGCUGGUACAAUGAGUCGCCAACCCGCAAGGGGGAGCCAAUCUCAACAAAACCAGUCUCAGUUCAGAUUGGAGGCUGCAACCCGCCUCCAUGAAGUUGGAGUUGCUAGUAACCGUAGGUCAGCACACUACGGUGAAUACGUUCCCGGGUCUUGUACACACCGCCCGUCACACCACGAAAGUCGGCAACACCUGAAGCCGCUGGGCUAACCGCAAGGAGGCAGGCGUCGAGGGUGGGGUCGGUGAUUGGGGUG
rnacentral:rRNA from 1 species